rnacentral:rRNA from 1 species
AGAGUUUGAUCCUGGCUCAGGAUGAACGCUGGCGGCAUGCCUAAUACAUGCAAGUCGAACGAGAGACCUUCGGGUCUCUAGUGGCGAACGGGUGAGUAACACGUAGGGAACCUGCCCGCGCACCGGGAAUACGCUCUGGAAACGGAGAACAAAUCCCGAUGUACAGGAAGGAGGCAUCUUCUUUCUGUGAAACAUCCUUUCGGGGAUGGGGCGCGGAUUGACCUGCGGUGCAUUAGUUUGUUGGCGGGGUAAAGGCCCACCAAGACGAUGAUGCAUAGCCGGCCUGAGAGGGCGGACGGCCACAUUGGGACUGAGACACGGCCCAGACUCCUGCGGGAGGCAGCAGUAGGGAAUUUUCGUCAAUGGGCGCAAGCCUGAACGAGCGAUGCCGCGUGAGUGAAGAAGGCCUUCGGGUCGUAAAGCUCUGUUGCGGGGGAAAAAAGGCAGCAUCAGGAAAUGGGUGCUGACUGAUGGUGCCCCGCCAGAAAGUCACGGCUAACUACGUGCCAGCAGCCGCGGUAAUACGUAGGUGGCGAGCGUUAUCCGGAAUGAUUGGGCGUAAAGGGUGCGCAGGCGGUCCUGCAAGUCUGGAGUGAAACGCAUGAGCUCAACUCAUGCAUGGCUUUGGAAACUGGAGGACUGGAGAGCAGGAGAGGGCGGUGGAACUCCAUGUGUAGCGGUAAAAUGCGUAGAUAUAUGGAAGAACACCAGUGGCGAAGGCGGCCGCCUGGCCUGUUGCUGACGCUGAGGCACGAAAGCGUGGGGAGCAAACAGGAUUAGAUACCCUAGUAGUCCACGCCGUAAACGAUGAGGACCAAGUGUUGGGGGUGAAACCUCAGUGCUGAAGUUAACGCAGUGAGUCCUCCGCCUGGGGAGUAUGCACGCAAGUGUGAAACUCAAAGGAAUUGACGGGGGCCCGCACAAGCGGUGGAGUAUGUGGUUUAAUUCGAAGCAACGCGAAGAACCUUACCAGGCCUUGACAUCCGGCCGACCGGGCGCGUAACGCGCCCUUCCUACGGGACGGCCGAGACAGGUGGUGCAUGGUUGUCGUCAGCUCGUGUCGUGAGAUGUUGGGUUAAGUCCCGCAACGAGCGCAACCCCUGCCCGCAGUAGCCAGCAUGUGAAGAUGGGGACUCUGCGGGGACUGCCGGGGACAACCCGGAGGAAGGCGGGGAUGACGUCAAAUCAUCAUGCCCCUUAUGGCCUGGGCUACACACGUGCUACAAUGGCGCAACAGAGGGAGGCGAAGCCGCGAGGCGGAGCGAACCCCAGAAAUGGCGUCUCAGUUCGGACUGCAGUCUGCAACUCGACUGCACGAAGCUGGAAUCGCUAGUAAUCGCGGAUCAGAAUGCCGCGGUGGAUACGUUCCCGGGUCUUGCACACACAGCCCGUCA